rnacentral:rRNA from 1 species
UACAGAGGGGGCAAGCGUUGUUCGGAAUUACUGGGCGUAAAGGGCGCGUAGGCGGCCGCCUAAGUCAGACGUGAAAUCCCUCGGCUCAACCGGGGAACUGCGUCUGAUACUGGGUGGCUUGAAUUCGGGAGAGGGAUGCGGAAUUCCAGGUGUAGCGGUGAAAUGCGUAGAUAUCUGGAGGAACACCGGUGGCGAAGGCGGCAUCCUGGGUCGGUAUUGACGCUGAGGAGCGAAAGCCAGGGGAGCAAACGGG